rnacentral:ncRNA from 1 species
CACUAUGAGUUUGGAACCCUGAACAGACGCCGGUGUUAAGCCGGAGGAAGGAGAGGAUGUGGCCAAGUCAUCAUGCCCCUUAUGCCCUGGGCGACACACGUGCUACAAUGGGCGGGACAAAGGGUCGCGAUCUCGCGAGGGUGAGCUAACUCCAAAAACCCGUCCUCAGUUCGGAUUGCAGGCUGCAACUCGCCUGCAUGAAGCAGGA